rnacentral:tRNA from 1 species
UCUCUGUUCGUAUAGUGGUUAGUAUGUGAGCUUGUCAUCUUCGACAUCGCUCGAGACCGGGGUUCAAUUCCCCGACAGAGAG